rnacentral:rRNA from 1 species
GGGGAUCGUAAGACCUCGCGUUAUUGGAGCGGCCGAUGCCGGAUUAGCUAGUUGGUGGGGUAAAGGCUCACCAAGGCGACGAUCCGUAGCUGGUCUGAGAGGACGACCAGCCACACUGGGACUGAGACACGGCCCAGACUCCUACGGGAGGCAGCAGUGGGGAAUUUUGGACAAUGGGCGCAAGCCUGAUCCAGCCAUGCCGCGUGAGUGAAGAAGGCCUUCGGGUUGUAAAGCUCUUUCGCAAGGAAAGAAAACUUACCUACUAAUACUAGGUGAGGUUGACGGUACCUUCAUAAGAAGCACCGGCUAACUACGUGCCAGCAGCCGCGGUAAUACGUAGGGUGCGAGCGUUAAUCGGAAUUA